AGAUUAGAGAAGUAAUUGUCUCCAGUUUAACGAAAGUGUCAGUUACAAGUUUAGAUGAUCUAGAUCUAGUGGCAGGAGUGUUGAAUUCAGCUACAUCAAUAUCUGAUGAAUUGACAGAUUAUACUCAGGAUACAGCUUUAGAUAUGUACUCCAGUUUGACAGGUGUGUUAUCCAAUCAGAUUAACAGCACAGCUACAAAUAAAGGAAAAGAAUCUGUUGGCCUAUUAUUGGAUGGGUUGUCAUUCAUGUUGGAUGCAAAUACAAAUAAAGGUACAGAAGAAAUGGAGAUCACUACAAAUCAUACUCAUGUUAAUACUACAAAGGUGUCAAAGGUAAA